GAUGAACGCUGGCGGCGUGCCUAAUACAUGCAAGUCGAGCGAACAGAUGAGGAGCUUGCUCCUCUGACGUUAGCGGCGGACGGGUGAGUAACACGUGGAUAACCUACCUAUAAGACUGGGAUAACUUCGGGAAACCGGAGCUAAUACCGGAUAAUAUAUUGAACCGCAUGGUUCAAUAGUGAAAGACGGUUUUGCUGUCACUUAUAGAUGGAUCCGCGCCGCAUUAGCUAGUUGGUAAGGUAACGGCUUACCAAGGCAACGAUGCGUAGCCGACCUGAGAGGGUGAUCGGCCACACUGGAACUGAAACACGGUCCAGACUACUACGGGAGGCAGCAGUAGGGAAUCUUCCGCAAUGGGCGAAAGCCUGACGGAGCAACGCCGCGUGAGUGAUGAAGGUCUUCGGAUCGUAAAACUCUGUUAUUAGGGAAGAACAAAUGUGUAAGUAAAUAUGCACGUCUUGACGGUACCUAAUCAGAAAGCCACGGCUAACUACGUG
rnacentral:rRNA from 1 species